rnacentral:lncRNA from 1 species
GGGAGCCCAGGCGCCCAGGCCGGCGCGCCGCCGCGUGACGUCCGCAGGGCCCCUCUCGCCGGCGGCGGUGUCUCCCGCGUUCCCAGAACACAGUGCGGUUAAGUCGGUUAAAUGAAGAACACGGAAGACUCGGGCUUUGCUGCUUCCUAAGAGCACCGCUAAAAAGUGGUCUGGCUAAAAACCUCCCUUUCCAGGCAGUUUGGCAGAGAUGCUGCAGGCAAUCCAAUGCGACAUGUCUCAAUACACUGGUGCACUACAGUUUCACGUGUAAUGUUAAUUCUGUCCGAGACAAAUCCUAUCAUCUGUGCGGUUUCGGAGCCGAAUACCGAAAGCAUCAUGGGGGUGUCCUCCCCACUCCAGGGAAAGUCCAAGGGCACCGGGUCUAUCGAAUCCCACUAGCCCAAGGAGAGAAACUGUCAUUAUUUUUAAAGGGUGAUCUUUCCCCAUUCUUUGGGAGCCUUCUUGAAAACUGA